UACGAAGGGGGCUAGCGUUGCUCGGAAUCACUGGGCGUAAAGCGCACGUAGGCGGCUUUCUAAAGUCAGGGGGUGAAAUCCUGGAGCUCAACUCCAGAACUGCCUUUGAUACUGGAGAGCUUGAGUCCGGAAGAGGUGAGUGGAACUCCGAGUGUAGAGGUGAAAUUCGUAGAUAUUCGGAAGAACACCAGUGGCGAAGGCGGCUCACUGGUCCGGUACUGGACGCUGAGGUGCGAAAAGCGUGGGGAGCAA
rnacentral:rRNA from 1 species